GGCUGAGGGCGGGCCGAGGCUGAGGUUUGGGCUGCCUGAUCGCUGUCCCUCUCGGAAUGAAGGUGUCAAUUUCAGGAGAUCGGCAUGAGCAAGAAGUGAAAUUGUUUGGAAAGAUGCAAAUGCAAUUGAGUCAUUCCCACACCCUGAGGUUCUGGAGAGGUGGAAGAUAGGGCUGGAUAACGACUCACUUCCAAAUUUCCUGUGUGAGAGGUGAUAAUGAGACUUCACAUGCUGCACAAGCAAGUGUUAGAGCUGUGUGUAUCUGAAUGGCACAGAACUGGCUGUUCCACGUUGUACCAGUGCAUAAAACAGCCUGCUUUGUACAGCACUCUUCUUUUCACCAAGUUAUCACUGAAUGUGGAACAAACUGCUAAAGGAUCCUGGAAAAGCCAAUGCCUAAAUGUGUGUCAAUGGAGGAUUCAGUGGGAAAUAGGCCUGUUGUUGGCUAGUAAAGCAAUGGUCCAGAUACAACUUCUAGCUCAGGAAAUUCUUCAACUACCUUGAGCCAGGUACGUCACAAGCAGGGCUUGAGUGCCAAAAUUGUUUUGGGAACCACAUUUCAACCAACUUACCGAUUUCCAAUGAGUCUUUGGGCAUUUCUGUUCUGUUUAGGGGAAAGAGCUGUGGGCUAGUGAAUGCUGAACUGAAAUGGUAAAUUUAGGGUUCCCCAUGGACAUGGUGUACCAGUCUGGAAUCAGGGUACCUGUGCUCAUAGGAGCAAUCCCUCUCUGCUGGUCUGCCUUACCGCAGUGUUUCCUGGCUGCUGUGAAGUUCCAGGCAAAGCUCAGGCCCAGCUUUAAGCUUCUCUUAAAGUUACCUUGCCAUUCGUGACCUGUUUGAGACUCAUCCUCACCCAGAGAUGCAGACAGCUUGCCCGUACACCAAUACACAGGGGUCUGCAGUUUAGUGGCUCUUUUAACAGAACCAUAAGGAGAUGCACACAAAGACCAAGUGGAGAUCAAUACAGAAGAGGAAAGUUCAGAAACUUAGCUCUUAGAUGCACAAUGUACCCAACAUUUCUUACUGUCAGUGGGCUCUUCACCACAGAGAGCUUCAAUAAACAGUGAAAUUGUGGUGUGCUAAAUUCUACUGGAAAGCUGUAUAAACGUUUUCAUAAAUCAAAGCAUGACAGGCUGGAAUUUAUUUAGCACCACAAAAACAGAUAAAUGAACAGAAUUGGUUAUAUAAAUCAUAUAUACACUGUCCUCACAGAGAAAGGGUCAUGCAGAAUAUGUAAUGCCCUCCCACAUUUGCCUUGGUCAUCAAGUCACUUUGAAACUAUGCAUGAGCAGCAAUUCCCUUAUAAGCCAGAAAUAGGGAUUUGCUUCAAAGCUUCCUAAAGUUAGCAUCUAUAUCUAAAAAACCCAUCUAUUAACUUAUCAAAGUUCAGAACAAUAUGCUUUUGGGAAGUCUGAUGAACAGAUAGUGCUUUUUAGAAGGGAACAGCAGUGCUUAAAGGAGAAGAAAAAGAGUGGGGGAAAGGCAGGUGUGCAGUCUAUCAGGCUUUUCUUGCUGAGUCUAAAGGGUAUAGCAGUGUAAAACAAACUCUACAAUCACUCAGGAUUUCUAGAUCUUAUUUUUAUAGGAAAUAGGGUACAAAUCACAUCUCACACAACUUUCUGGAGCUUUCCUAGAGCCUUCAGCAGGCCAAGGGUGAAUAACAUUUUCUCCUACAAGGCUGAAUAUGCAGACGAACACAUCAUGGGUGCUUAUUUCCUUUGGUAUUGUGAUACCACGUGGAGAACUUAUCACCUUGCUGCUAAUAGGAGAGCCAACAUAAAAAUGUAACACCUGCAAACAACUUACAAGCACAUGUAAAUUAAUUACAUCUUCACAAAAAACCUUGAAUUCAUAGUAAUUGAUGUCAGACUCCUUGUA